CCCCUCCUUUGUGUAUCUUCAACUCAUAGCGUAGAUGCGGUGGGUCUGGGGGUUCCUGUUCACCCGGCUCACGGCACCGAGUGGUCGAACCAGCACUGAGGAGGGGUCCCCGAAGGCAAGGCAAUCCAGUGGGUAGAAGCUGUCGUCGUCAGCGAUGCGGACCUGCCUGACUCCUCAGGGAGGCAGUGCGGAGUGCGUGAUGAGGGAGGCUGGGUGUUAACGUGGUGGUUGGAGUCGGUCGGUCGAGGAUGGAUGAGAUCUGUGGGAGCCAAGAACCCUUAGGAAGAGGGAAAGAGUACUCUGCGUGGAUCCGAGCUGCGGUCUGAGCGUUGAGACUGGUAAACUCCGGCCUUCUCAAGCAUCUUACAGGGACUCUUUGGGUCGCCUUCCCAUUGAAAUCCCAAGUCCGGACGGUCUUGAUGGAAAUCUGGGGCAAAGAACUGGGAGCCUCUAGCCCCCUCCGCACCGCCGCGGAGUCGGAACCCGAAGCGCUUCUGCGUAACGUCAGCGCGCCGGUGUCCUGGGAAAGGAGCAAAGUGUACAGCCCACUCUGAGAUGUGUAAUUGGGUGUAGGUGGAAGAAAGGAAGCCAUUUCUAGAUAGGCUUCCCACGGAGACUCCAACUGUCUGGAAACUAAAACCCAAGACCACCAAGAGGGAGACUUAAAGGAGAGCAAGAAACCACGGAGAAAGGAACGGCCACAGGAAAGAAAAGAAUUGCCCACCACUUUUGAAGGACGUGCGGAUUUUUUUUUUCCCAAAGCACGUUCUGACUUUUCUCAACACACUUCCUAGAACCCAUUUUCCUUGUUCUUAUUCUGAAGGUUUUGUUUUGUUUUUGUUUGCAUAUUCCUGCAAGACCUUCGGAUUGGCAGUGGAAGGGGAAAUCAGCAGCCGGGCACGAGACUGGGGUGGGAAAAUAAAGCCCUGGCGGCUCCCGCCCUGGGUCCAAUCUAAGGCACUCCCCUCCUGGCUACCUCAGGAGCUGGCUGAGCCUCCGCCCGCCUAAGGCUGAGCCCCUGGGCUGCUGGCCACGGGGUGAUCCGGGCCAGAGUGAUCGUGCUGCAUUUAUUAACGACUAGACAGAUUACUUAAGCCAAGUCCCCAAAGAAAGGGAUCCAAAUGAGUAAAACAGUUGCAGCUCCGGCUCUAGCCAAGGCUGCGAGUCGGGAGAAUCCCGCCUGUUGACAGAGUCGCAGCUUCUUAGGCUUCUCCCGGUUUUAGGACGAGGUGAUGCCCCUUGAUGGGCUCAGCGCUCUGGGGCUUGCAGUUGUGCGAGGCUGAAAGGUAAUUAUUGGAGCUAUUAGACGAUGCUACACCUGGCUGUUGAAAUUUGAAGUCAUGUCUGGUGUACUUCAGAAAACAUUGCGGGCUUUUUUUUUUUCCUCAACAAAUUUAGUGUCUAUCUUUUACUAAUAAUAACACAGUCUCGCAACGGCGAACGGAUGGAUGCAGUCAGGGGUUGCACACUUUGGUUUCUGGGCUGACUUGUGGCCCUCCUUAUCUUCGUGUUUACAAAACCAGAAUAUUAAAGUGCGGCCUCUAGACUAUCCUCACCACUGUGCGGUUCCUUCAAGUCUUCAAGGAAAAUCUCUCUUCUCCUGUUAGGGUGUGGCCUGCCAGACCGGCAGUUCCCCCUUGCCUUCCCCGCUCCUGCCUGCGACCCCUUGACUAUGAAUUCCCGUCCUUUUCUGGGCUCUCACUGGCGUGUUCUUCAACAUGCCUUCACAAACAUUUUCUCAACCUUGUUGGGCAAGGUUUGAUCUACUAAGGAGUCCACAUUUUGCUCCUCCCACCCCAGGCUGGUCCCUGGAAGUCAGGAGCACAGAGUUCUCUUCCCUGCUUGUUUUCCAGGCCAGUCGCAAAUGCAUGACUAAGGAAUCUGAGAUUGAGAGAGGUCUGGAGUUGAGCUGGCCACAGGAAUCAAGCGGUGAGGACAGGACACCCGUGGUGUUGGCCCCUAGGGAGCCCAGGGCUGCACCCAGAAAUGCAGGCCCAGAGGCAACACCUAGAUCAGAGUUCAGCCUCCCCUCCUCCAGCCCUCACAGGCUUGGGGGAAGAGUUUAAAGCCACAGUGGUCAGGCCCCAAUUAUGCGUGAUUCCAGCCACAUGACUGCUGCAGCCGGAAGGCGCCAUCCUCAGAAGAAGCCUGGAAUUUCACAUCGAUUUUUUUUUUUUUUUAAGUUUAGACCGUUUGCGGAGGGUCAAGAACUGACAGGCUGAGGGUUGGAAAGUGGAUAGCCAGGAUUCCCCAUUUCGGGGAGGAAAAAAAAAGGCCUUGGUGAUACUUGCAGGGAGGCCCGAGAAGGCGACCCAUCAGCGAGCUUGCCCCUGCCUCUGCCUGCCUCUGCCAUGAAGGUGGUCUGGGCAUCAAGGACGGCUCCCCUAGGUCCACAUCUGCUCAGCACCGCUCUUCAGCCAGGACCCAGUAAAAUCUCCUGAACAUGUAAGACACGAAGAGAGGGAAGGAAGGAAGCAUGCAAUGAGGGAAUAUCAGAAACAUCUUUCUGGUCAUGUGAACUUUAUUGCAGAUCAGAAAGUUAUCCGAAGGCUGCCUCAAACUUCGGACUCCAUUGCUCCAAAUGCUGACUGUUCCUCGCACCUCACCACCGGCUGCAGCCUGCUGACUAGGGGCUUUUUCAGAUUUCCUCUUCUCUCUCCAGCUUCUACCCCCACCUGGCUGGUGGCAUUUGGAGAUGAUUUUCCUUUUCUCAAUUCACCAGACCAUGUGGCUCCCGUGCUCACCUGGGCUGGUGCUUUCCCCAACCUUUCUUCCUGAUGGGAAUUCCAAAUCUCCUCCUGCAGAAGGAAAGCCAGGUUGAGGAAAGGUCAGAGAAAGGAAGUCAAGCUGGAGGUCCAGGCAUAUAGUAUUGUAUUCUCUGGGUGCCUUUGAUUCAUUCCAGAGAAAUAAAAAGUAUCUGAGGAAAAAAAAUUAUUUGAAUGGGUGACCAUCUGCGUUCCCCUAACUCACUAAUUCCCAGGCUUGAGCCCAGUUCAUGCACUGGGAGCGUGACCUUGUUUCCCUAAAAGGCCCCUCAAAGAUCUGAGUACACAGUAGGCUACAGCAGAAGUUCUGAGGGAGAAGGAACAGUUAUUGUUAUUGUUAUUAAGCAAAGCCCCCCCCCAAGUGCCCAUCAGUUUCUGUGCAGUUCAUUUCAUGGUCAGAAAGAAGACUGAGAUUAUCUCCGGAGGACCCGCUUCCACCUUCCACUUGAUGCCUCCCCAAACAUCUCAACAACCUGUUCCCCCUGAGUAACCCACAUAGAGAUUUGGAGGUACUCCACUCUGACGGGCUGGUUUAACUGGCAAGACAUUACUGUGACCCCUGUGCGUGUUUCCUGACCCCUAGAGGUCAGAGUGAGCAGAGCCCGCGGGGGGGGGGGGCAGGAGGGGGGGCAAUCUAACCGGAAUCCAAAUGUCUAAGAAUGGGGACUUCUCCAAGAUCUGUUUAUAGAAAGACCAUUCAUCUUGGGCCCAGUGAAUUUAACUCUGUAUUAAGACAGUCCAAGAUACGCCCCAGUGAGGAAGGAGCAGUUUCAGGAAGGCUGAGGCCCAGUCCUGGCUGUGCAGCUCCUGCAAUGUAUGACCUAGAGCAAGAAGUGCUUGAGCCCAGGAGUACCUUCUGGAUUAAAAGGAUGCUCGCUCUGGCGUUGCCCACCGGGACAGUAUUGGAACACAAUGGUUACCAACCCCUCUGAUUGCAAAAUUUUUCACUAAGUGAGAUAAUCCAACCACAGCUCUGUGACUAAGCAGGGUGGCGCACACAGCCCGGAAGUGCUUGCUUAGACCCGGAAGCACCUGGAGCUCGCUGCCCUCUUUUCUAGAAGACCUGGGUGGGCUGCCUUCGUGUGUAAAGCCGAGUUUGUGACCCCCAUGCUGCGCCUGUCCCAUCCACUUCUGGAAUCUACACUGACUGAUUGAGGGAAGGGAAACGGCAACCACGAAUGGAGUUAGUCUUUGGUUUUAGUUAAGCUGCCGGUCUACCCUACAGUGGGCUAGAAGAAUGCAUGCGAAUGGAAAAAAUUUAUAAUGGGAGCCCGAUGACUAAAAAGCCUCACCAUACAUUAUAGAGUGGAUGUACUAGAGAUUUUCGGGAGGGAUUCA